GGCUGUUGUAUUCUAGAUUCCUUUUCGUGCCCAGCUGCUAAAGGAAGACCCUGAUUCACAGCACUUUGUUAUUUUUUCUUAUUUUUAUAGGCAGCCAGAGGGCAUAUGGAUGUUCAGUUUGUUUGUUUGGAUUCACUCAUUAGUAAACGACGUGUCAUGAGCGACGAUAUGCACCUGGACAUUUAGUCUGAGGAACUGUAUCAUAAAUAGAGCAGAAGUACCACAAAGCAAGAACAAGACAAGAACAAAAAUCACAAGAGUUCCUUAUAAAGUGUUGUCAAUAAUCAGUCUGCUUUGAACACAAGGAUCCUGAACCCAAGUCCACAGCCACAUCAUAGGACUACCUAAAUGACAGAACUUAAGUUUUUGCUGCAUGGCUGGAAGACCUACAGAGGUUCCUAUGGAGGAACAUCAAAGACAUUUAGAGAUUCAGCUAGGAAAUUUGAAGCAAUCUUGGGAGUGCAAGCCUGGCAUCUGGAGAUCCAGAAAUGGAAAUCAUCUUGAAAUCUUCUUGGAACCAACAGCUCCCUUGUACUCUUGGAGUAAGCACUACUUACAAUUUGCAAUUGUAAUAAAGGGAACUGGGGCAGAAAGGGACAGAUACAGGACACAGACAAGGUCUGAGAUAUUCCAGUGAAAUCCUUCGACACAGAAUAACCCUUGGAGACUGCAGAUGACUGGUUAAGAAUCAGAGAGACAGCUCAACAGCUCCUUGCUCUGAAUUUCCCAUCAUCAGUAGGGUGUACCACAGAGAACACAGUAAGAAAUGUCUUCUAAAACAGCUUUAAGGACUGGAAAUCUGAUAAAGCAAAUAAAUAUGGCAAAGCUUCA